GGGCGCAAGUUCACACACACGGCGAAACCGCGGACGGCUCAUUAAAUCAGUCGUGGUCCAAAUGGGCUAGAGUUCUCCUACUUGGAUAACUGUGGUAAUUCCAGAGCUAAUACAUGCAACUGAAAUCCCGAAUUGUGUGUCACGUUCGUACGUGUCACACUACGACGGAUGCUUUUAUUAGACCAAACCGCUGAGGGAGUUUCAAUAAUAUUGCUAUUCCCGUAGACUCGUGUUAUGGUGACUCUGAAUAACACCACUUGACAAGCGCACGUAUCCAUUUGUUUGGGACGGCGCUGCCACUUUCGAGUGUCUGCCUUAUCAGCUAUGAAUCGUUCGUUAUGUGCGACCGAUGGCUUUGACGGGUAACGGGGAAUCAGGGUUCGAUUCCGGAGAGGCAGCCUGAGAAACGGCUACCACGUCCAAGGACGGCAGCAGGCACGCAAAUUACCCAAUCCCAGCACAUGGGGGAGGUAGUGACGAAAUAUAACGAUGCGGGCGCUCCUUCUGGAGCCCCGCAAUCGGAAUGAGCAUUUUCUUUCUAAACACCCUGUUGAGAACCUACUGAAGGGCAAGUCUGGUGCCAGCAGCCGCGGUAAUCCAGCUUCAGCAGCAUCUACUAAAGUUGCUGCGGUUAAAAGGCUCGCAGUUGAAUGUCAGUAUCAAGUGUAGCGAUGGUGGACGUUGGAGCGCGGGAGCACCUCGGGUGAUGCGUGUUUUUGUUUGUGGGGGGAGAUACCGAUGCUUCUGUGUCGCUCUUUCUUUCUCUCUUACUCUUUCGCGUUGAUCUCGUGCCUCCCCACUUAACUCCCGUCCGUAACAAGCCUCCUCACUUGCGUACAAAGUGGAAUCUAUUGGUGGAACUGUGCACAAAAGAGAACUAAAGAGAUUAUAUAUGUGUGGUAAGUCGCGGGUGUGCGCGCGAUCUCGUGUCGUGUGUGUGUCUGUGUCCCCACUCUAUUUUUCUCUCUCUAGCGCAACGAAACUGGUUUUCAAAGUCACCUUGAGUAAAUCAGAGUGCUCAAAGCAGUCGUAAGGAAUGUGCAGCUCGCGCUGUACGUUCUGUGAUGAAUGUCUUCAUUGACAGACAGUCUUGGUUUUGCAUGGUAUGUCGAAAGACGCCGUAUUUUCUUGUUGGUAACGAGUCUGGUGCGGGCUCGAUGCAAGCGCGUUCGUACGUGUGUGCUGUGUGUGUGCUUGUGUGUGUUUCGUGUGUCUCUUUUCUAGGAGGCGCAUGUGGGCGCGCUCGUAUAUAUGCUCUCACGCGUGCGUGUUUUUGCGCGCGUAUGUGUUGACAUUAUACAGACCAACAAGUGCGGAAUGAUUAAAAGGCACGGUCGAGGGCAUUGGUAUUGCGAGGCGAGAGGUGAAAUUCUAUGACCCCCGCAAGACCUCCUGAAGCGAAAGCGUCUGCCAAGGACGUCAGGCGGUGGACCUGCGGCUUACUUKGACUSACACGGGCCAUCUCACCAGGCCAGCACUCUUGUACGAUUGACAGAUUGAGAGUUCUUUCUCGAUUCAGUGGAUGGUGGUGCAUGGCCGUUCUUAGUUGGUGGAGUGAUCUGUCUGGUUAAUUCCGAUAACGAACGAGACUCUCCCCUGCUAACUAGUCGGUUGGAUCUUGCGUCUGGAGAGUUGUGUGAUGCGACUCGUGCGUUCGCUCGAUGUGUCUCGUGUGGGACUGUGUUUGUGGGUGUUUUUGCGUACAAUAUAUCUUUCUUUCUCAUUUGCCUUUCUCUCCGAGGGAGGUUGGGUGUUUGGGAGAGGUUGAGUGCGUGAGGCUCCGCGAGCGCACGUUUUUUCCUCGCAGCGCUCGAGUGUUUUUCGUGCGUGGCUGUGUUGCACACUCCAAGUCCGCCGCUUACUCACGUGUGAUGCGUUAAACCAAAGCUAUGAUUAAAACUCUUCUUAGAGGGAUUCACGGUCAAGAACCGUAAGAAACUGAGAGCAAUAACAGGUCUGUGAUGCCCUUAGAUGUUCUGGGCCGCACGCGCGCUACAAUGCCGGGCUCAGCAGGUGUUUUUCCUUCUCCGAGAGGAGUGGGUAACCCUCUGAAAGCCCUCUAUCAUUAUCAAAGGACGUGUAUGUGUGCGUGCUCGCGCGCUUGCGCGUGGGUGUGUGUAUAUAUGCGUUCUCCAUGGCUUGCUUGGGCCUGGGGCUUGCAAUUCUUUCCCACAAACGAGGAAUGCCUAGUAGCGGCGGGUCACUGAGCCCGCUGUGACUCAGUCCCUGCCCUUUGUACACACCGCCCGUCGCUACUACCGAUUGGGUGUACCAGUGAGAUCCCUGGACUGGCGAGCCUUGUGCCUAGCAAUAGUGUGCAAAGGUGUACGACGGGAASAGGCUCGAA
rnacentral:rRNA from 1 species